rnacentral:rRNA from 1 species
GACGAACGCUGGCGGCGUGCUUAACACAUGCAAGUCGAGCGGAAAGGCCCCUUGUGGGUACUCGAGCGGCGAACGGGGGAGGAAAACGUGAGUAAUCUGCCCUUCACUUCAGGAUAGCUCCCGGAAACGGGGAUUAAUACUGGAUAUGACACAUUCGCGCAUGGGGGUGUGUGGAAAGUUUUUUCGGUGGGGGAUGAGCUCGCGGCCUAGCAGCUUGAUGGUGGGGUAAUAGUCUACCAUGGCUUCGACGGGUAGCCGGCCUGAGAGGAUGGGCGGUCACACUGGGACUGAGACACGGCCCAGACUCCUACGGGAGGCAGCAGUGGGGAAUAUUGGACAAUGGGCGGAAGCCUGAUCCAGCAACGCCGCGUGAGGGAUGACGGCCUUCGGGUUGUAAACCUCUUUCAGCACAGACGAAGCGCAAGUGACGGUAUGUGCAGAAGAAGGACCGGCCAACUACGUGCCAGCCGCCGCGGUAAAAC